GUGGAAACAAAGACACCUACAUCUUGGAUGCCCUUGAGGAUAACAUAUACCGCUGUUCAUGUAAACAAAAUCAAUAUCAAGUUCAUGUUGAUUGAAAUUCAAGAACUUCUCCAGCAUGAGGCCAGUUCAUUUCUAAUGUAGCUAACCGCAUCCCUCCCUCUGGUCCGGUUUAAAUUGAGUGAGUUCUGCUGAUUCAGGACGGGCUUGCCUCAAAGGAUCAUCUGAGAUCUACACGAACAGGUUAUAUCUGUCAAAACAUUUGAAAAUGACUCACAAGAUAUUAAAGAUUAAUUAACUGGAGACUAUUCCCAUGAUAUUCAUUGUGAAAUGGUUUGCUAAGGCAAUCUUCACUAUUUCUUUUUCUCAUACUGAAGGUGAGAUUUCAACAACACAGUAUUAAAGGAGUAGUUCACUUUUCAAAAAACACU